rnacentral:lncRNA from 1 species
GAGAGUCUGUGCGAAGGUAGGUGGACAGACUGCAUUGCUUGUUGUUGCGCUUCGGAGGCGGCGAUCCCCGAAGGCGAGCUGAAAUACGGCUGGAGCGUUCCCAGGCUACAGUUUGUAGCCGACGAUUGUGGAAGACUAGGAGCCGGAGAGGUGGCCCACCCUCAGGGAGCGCUUGUGCUCGGAGGGCUUCUCAUUUCCCCAAUACCACAUUAAAUCGUCUCAUCUGAGGAGGAUCCACAGAGCUGUCUUCUAUGGUAAUCUGGAGAAACUGGAGUACCUUCUGCUCACGUAUCAUGACACCAAUGAGAGAGACAAGGAGGAAAGCAUCCGGUGAAAGACAGAGAUCACAUUUCAACUAGAUUCUUAGGAAGUAUGGAUUCACUAACUUCAGCGAAGCUUACCCUGAAAGAAGCAGAUCCCAGUUCAAAAGUAGCCAUAAGAAGGAAGGAUUCACCACCUCCAGGA